rnacentral:tRNA from 2 species
GCGAGAUAGCUCAGUUGGCUAGAGCAUGUGGUUCAUACCCACAGGGUCGAGGGUUCGAAUCCCCCUCUCGC